rnacentral:rRNA from 1 species
UACGUAGGGGGCAAGCGUUGUCCGGAUUUAUUGGGCGUAAAGAGCGUGUAGGCGGCCAGGUAGGUCCGUUGUGAAAGUCGAGGGCUCAACCCUCGAAUGCCGGCGGAUACUGUCGGACUAGAGUCCGGAAGAGGCGAGUGGAAUUCCUGGUGUAGCGGUGAAAUGCGCAGAUACCAGGAGGAACACCAAUGGCGAAGGCGGCUCUCUGGGACGGUACUGACGCUGAGACGCGAAAGCGUGGGGAGCGAACAGG